CGCGCAGGCGGCCAGGUCAGUCGAAUGUGAAAGCCCCCGGCUCAACUGGGGAAGGUCGUUCGAUACUGCCUGGCUCGAAGGUAGGAGAGGGAAGUGGAAUUUCAGGUGUAGUGGUGAAAUGCGUAGAUAUCUGAAGGAACACCAGUGGCGAAGGCGACUUUCUGGCCUAUUCUUGACGCUGAGGCGCGAAAGCUAGGGGAGCGAACG
rnacentral:rRNA from 1 species